UUCUUCUUUUGUGGAUUUCUAUCAGGUGAUCAACUAGCUAUAGGAAAGGAAACCGGUUGCUGUCUGGGAAUGGGCACCAACAUGUACCCUUCAUCAGCUUUGCUAGGAUAGAACAAGGACGAGUCAAUUGUUGCUUUGCCAAUUGAUGAGCUGAUAGAGAAGGCCAAUGGUUUUGCUAAUGUUUUCCCUAAAUGCAAAAUUGAAGGGGACUAAUGGUACUACGAAAGAAAGUUCCAAGGUCUAGCAAACAAGAAGACUGUGUUGAUUCAGCCAGCAGGGAAAGAUCUUUCUGUUGUGCUUGCAACGACGAAGACAAAGAGCCAAAACCAUCCUGCAAAUCUGUACCAUAGGUCAAUCAUGAAGAAGGAAUUUCGACAAAUAGCAAAGGCUGUUCU